GGACUACUCGGGUAUCUAAUCCUUAUCGUUACCCUAGGCUUCGUCCCUCAACGUCAGUUUUUACAUGGAAUGUCGUCUUCACUGUUGUCCGUACCGUCGGUAUUAACAAAUGUUGACUCUCCUCCAAUAGUUCGACAUUCUUCCAUAAAACUCUAGAAUAUUAGUCCCUUUUUAUUUAGGCUUGAUUUUCCGUCUAGGUACCCUUUAAACCCAUUAAAGAUGAAUAACACUUGUAUUUUACGUAUUACCGCGGCUGCUGGCAC
rnacentral:misc_RNA from 1 species